ACGAACGCUGGCGGCAUGCCUAACACAUGCAAGUCGAACGAUACCUUCGGGUAUAGUGGCGCACGGGUGCGUAACACGUGGGGAUCUGCCCUUUGCUUCGGAAUAACAGUUAGAAAUGACUGCUAAUACCGGAUAAUGUCGCAAGACCAAAGAUUUAUCGGCAAAGGAUGAACCCGCGUAGGAUUAGCUAGUUGGUGGGGUAAAGGCUCACCAAGGCGACGAUCCUUAGCUGGUCUGAGAGGAUGAUCAGCCACACUGGGACUGAGACACGGCCCAGACUCCUACGGGAGGCAGCAGUGGGGAAUAUUGGACAAUGGGCGAAAGCCUGAUCCAGCAAUGCCGCGUGAGUGAUGAAGGCCUUCGGGUUGUAAAGCUCUUUUACCAGGGAUGAUAAUGACAGUACCUGGAGAAUAAGCUCCGGCUAACUCCGU
rnacentral:rRNA from 1 species